rnacentral:snoRNA from 1 species
GGAGAAGCAACGUGAUGAGCAUUGCUGGCUGGAGCUCCAAAGGGGCACCUGUGUGUGUGUGUGUGUGUGUGUGUGUGUGUGUGUGUGUGUCUGUACCCUUGUCUGUGCAUGCACACGUGUGUCUGGGAGUAUGUGUGAGCGUGGCUGGUUGUAGGGACCUAGUUAUGUGCCUCCUUUUGGACGAUGAUAGUCAAAAACUGAUAAGAUCUGAUUGCUUC